GAUGAAUGCUAGCGACAGGCUUAACACAUGCAAGUCGAGGGGCAGCGGGGGAGGAAGCUUGCUUUCUCCUGCCGGCGACCGGCGCACGGGUGAGUAACACGUAUGCAACCUGGCCGUCACAGGUGGAUAACCGGAAGAAAUUCCGACUAAUACAGCAUAACACUCCUGAGGGACAUCCUUCGGGAGUCAAAGGAGGCGACUCCGGUGACGGAUGGGCAUGCGGCGCAUUAGGUAGUUGGUAGGGUAACGGCCUACCAAGCCGACGAUGCGUAGGGGUUCUGAGAGGAAGGUCCCCCACACUGGAACUGAGACACGGUCCAG
rnacentral:rRNA from 1 species